rnacentral:misc_RNA from 1 species
GAUUUAUUGUUGUAUUUUUGAUUAUGUUUUUAAAAUGAAUAUAAAUGUGAAGUUCUAAUAAGUAAAUAUUAUUAUUAUUGUAAAAGUUAUUAAUGUUUAUAAUAUUUAGUUUAUAUUUUUGGUAAUAUAAGUGAAAUAAAUAUAUGUUUGAAGGUUAUUAACGAUGGUUUUAUAUUUGGAAAUAAUGUUUUAGAAAGAGUAGAUGUAAAG